UUUUUUUUUUUUUUUUUUUAACACAGAUCUCUUCCAGUAUAGAAACAUCUUCACUUGCUGUUAUCUCCUUAAGACGGAAACCUCUUUCUGGCUGCCUCUUUACCAACCAUUCUGGCACUGCCAGUUAGUAGUUGUGUGACUUGGGCAACUAUUUAAUCCUUUGGCACUUGGGUUGUCUCACCUGUGAAAUAUGGCUCAUGAUCCCCAGGUGUACAGUGAGGAGCAAAGGUAGUAAAACAGAUGCUGACUUUCUCUUUUUUUUUCCCCUGCUGUACAGCAUGGGGAUCAAAUUAUUCUUACAUGUAUACAUUUUUUCCCCCACCCUUUGUUCUGUUGCAAUAUGAGUACCUUUUUUUUUUUUUUUCUUAGGGCCGCACCUGUGGCACAUGGAGGUUCCCAGGCUCAGGGACCAACUGGAGCUGCAGCUCCCAGCGUACACCACAGCCACAGCAAUGAGGAAAUCUGAGCCAUGUCUGCAACCUAUACCAUGGCUCACAGCAAGGCUGAAUGCUACCCCCACUGAGUGAGGCCAGGGAUCAAACUAGUAUCCCCUAGACACAAUGUCAUCUUCUUAACCCACUGAGCCACAGUGGUAAUUCCCAUUUUGACUGAUGAGCCAAAGAGUUUUCCUUUUUCCUGUACUAAGUCAUCCCUAUUGGCUGAUCGAAACAUUUAGCAUUUUUUGAUGACCUCUCUCUCCUGCUAGAGAACUAAACUACUGACUUCCCCCCCUUCUCUCCCUCCUGGAAAAGAUAGCGGAGGGAAUUUCCUCAAGAUUGAACCCACUUUUACUCCCCUUAGAAACAGCUUUCACAUCUGCAAGUCUUACCUUCUGAGUCCACAGGGUUCUCCAGAGUUUUGGUUCUUAAAUCUUCAAAGGCCACCUAGAUGCUUCCAGCUGGUUGUCACUGUGACCUAAAGCAACAUCUCUAAAUCAGGAGUUUUACAUUUAUCUUUCUGUUUUUAUUUCACCUCUCAAAAAUACCUAGUUUCUAAAGUUCCUUGGCGGCCCAGCGGUUAGGGAUUCAGCAUUGUCACUGCUGUGGCAUGGGUUCGAUCUCGGGCUCAGGAACUUCUGCAAGCUCUGGGCACAGCUAAAAAAAAAAAAACAACAACAAAAAACACCUUAUAAAAAUACCUUGUUUCUUAAAUGUCCUGUUACUGUGAGGGUCAUUCAUUUCACAGUGGUGCACAGGGAAUGCCAAGCACUGUACGAGGUGCUGGGAUAGCAAGGCCAGCUGAUGAGGCUGGAGUGGAGAGGGCACAGGAGAGAUAAGAGGGAGGUGAAUUUGGAGAAGCCAAUGGAAGCCAGACCAUGAGAAGGUGGUAGGAAAUAAGGAUAUUUGGGGGGUUCUUCUCUAAAAGGUCUUAGGCUGGAAGAUGAUUUCAUCAGAUUUGUGUUUUGAAAAAUACCAUCUUAGCCAGUAUGUGUAGAGUGGUGGGGGCAGGGGAAUCGGAGGGGAUGCCAAACAAGAAACCAGUCGGGCUAAUGCGAGGACUAGAUGAGGGCGUCUUGGGCAAAGGAAGUAAGUGCAGAAGAUAUGAAGAAAAGGAAGCGAUUAAGAGGUAAAUCAGGAGUUCCCAUCGUGGUGCAGCAGAAAGGAAUCCGAUUAGGAACCAUGAGGUUUCAGGUUCAAUCCCUGGCCUUGCUCAGUGGGUUAAGGAUCUGGCAUUUCCGUGAGCAGUGGUAUAGGUCGAAGAUCCCACAUUGCUGUGGCUGCGGUGUAGGCCAGCAGCUGUAGCUCUGAUUCGACCUCUAGCCUGGGAACUUCCAUAUGCCUCGGGUGUGGCCCUAAAAAGCCAAAAAAAAAAAAAAAAAAAAAAA
rnacentral:lncRNA from 1 species